AUGCAUUCUUCAAGCAACAGAAAAACAAGAAGGGGGAGGAAAAAACACCAACCAAUGCGUUCCUUCACCAUUCCUCCGGCCGUGCUGCAGCUGUUCCUGCUACUCUCCGGCCUCUCUCCCGCCACCUCAUGCACCGAGCAGGAGAAGCACUUCUCCAGUUCCUCGCUGGGACGUCGGGAGAUGGCACCCUCGCCGCGUCGUGGAACCAUGAGACAGACUGCUGCGAGUGGGAAGGCAUCAUUUGCAAUGGAGAUGGGGCCGUCACUGAGAUCUCCCUGGCAUCUAAAGGACUUGAAGGGCGCAUCUCGCCAUCUCUCGCCGACCUCACAGGCUUGCAAUGGAGAUGGGGCCGUCACUGAGAUCUCCCUGGCAUCUAAAGGACUUGAAGGGCGCAUCUCACCAUCUCUCGCUGACCUCACAGGCUUGCUGCAUGUCAACCUUUCGCACAACUCCUUCUCCAGUGGCCUUCCGCUGGAGCUCAUGUCCUCCAGCAGCAUCAUCGCCCUUGACGUCAGCUUCAACCGGCUAAAUGGAAUGCUGCAAGAGCUGCCGUCUUCGAUCACCACAGACCGGCCUCUGCAGGUACUCAACGUCUCAAGCAACCAGUUCAGCUUAGAACUUCCAUCAGCCACAUGGAAAAUGAUGAAGAAUCUUAUCGCGUUCAACGCCAGCAAUAACGGCUUCACUAGGCACAUACCGUCUUCUCUUUGCCUUGGCUCGCCAUCUUUGGCUUUGCUUAACCUCUGUCACAACCAAUUGAGUGGUGGCAUUCCGAACACACUAGGUAAUUGCUCCAAGCUCAAAGUGCUCAAAGCUGGCAACAACCACCUAAGUGGGAUUCUCCCUGUUGAAAUCUUCCACGCUACCUCGCUGGAGUACCUCUCCAUCCCCAACAAUGGUUUGCAAGGAGAACUUGAUGGAGCACAAAUGGUCAAACUCAGUAAUCUAGCUACUCUUGACCUUGGAGAGAACCACAUCAGUGGCAACAUCCCAGAAUCGAUAGGUCAGCUCAGGAGGCUGGAGAAGCUCCAUUUGGGUAACAACAUGUCUGAGGAGCUGCCAUCAACUAUGGGCAACUGCACAGAUCUCAAAACCAUCGAUCUGAAGGUCAACAACUUCAGUGGAGAUCUAGGCGAGGUGAACUUCUCAACCCCGCAGAAUAUAAGAAGUUUAGAUCUCAUGAGGAAUCGUCUCGGUGGCAUAGUGCCAGAAAGCAUUUACUCAUGCAGCAUGUUGACUGCACUGCGGCUGUCAGGCAACCAUUUCCAUGGUGAGAUAUCACCAAGAAUAGGCAAUCUGAAGCAUCUGUCCUUCCUAUCACUUGGUAGUAACUCCUUUACAAAUAUCAUGAAAGCUUUGCAUGCCCUUAAAAGCUGCAGGAACAUCAGCAAAAAUAAGUAA
rnacentral:rRNA from 1 species